GACGAACGCUGGCGGCGUGCCUAAUACAUGCAAGUUGAGCGCUGAAGGUUGGUACUUGUACCUACUGGAUUAGCAGCGAACGGGUGAGUAACGCGUGGGUAAUCUGCCUUUGAGCGGGGGACAACUUUUGGAAACGAAUGCUAAUACCGCAUAAAAACUUUAAACACAAGUUUUAAGUUUGAAAGAUGCAAUUGCAUCACUCAAAGAUGAUCCCGCGUUGUAUUAGCUAAUUGGUGAGGUAAAGGCUCACCAAGGCGAUGAUACAUAGCCGACCUGAGAGGGGGAUCGGCCACAUUGGGACUGAGACACGGCCCAAACUCCUAAGGGAGGGAGCAGUAGGGAAUCUUAGGCAAAGGACGAAAGUCUGAACGAGCAAAGCCGCGGGAGUGAAGAAGGGUUUCGGAACGUAAAAAUCUGUUGGUAGAGAAGAAAGUUGGGGAGAGUGGAAAGCUCAUAAAGUGACGGUAACUACCCAGAAAGGGACGGCUAACUACGUG
rnacentral:rRNA from 1 species